rnacentral:tRNA from 1 species
GGGCCUGUAGUUCAAUGGUAGAAUGCGGCCAUGGCAUGGCUGUGGUCCGGGUUCGACUCCCGGCAGGUCCA